AUAUCAGGACCCCGUUUCGGCUCAUGUGGUAACUCGAUCGCACACCAUUCGGCUAAAGAAUAUCCAUUUAAAUGAUAAUAUAUGAUAUAUAGACUUCAGCCUACUCAGCCUGCUGGUAAAUUCGCCUCUGCUACCAGCAGAAAUAUGCUACAAUCCAUACGGCACAGACCACCAAAAUGUCUCUAUCUGUUAGUGUUUUAAAAAACAGUAGAUAGUUUGAGACGUUAUUGGUUUCAUUCACAUUGUAAAAGAAAAAAUAAAAACAUCAACGAAAUUCACCACACAGAUAGAUGGAUAAAUGACCGGCAAAUACAGAUAACAUUGGAUUGUUUACAUUCAGCUAUAAGGAUUUAAGUGCCAACAACCUCUCUACUUGGGGGUGUAUUUGUAUGACUUUUUUAACGUUUGUGUCAAAUGAGAAAAUCGAUAUUCCUUUGACCAAUUCAACUAAGAAUUUCACCACCCAACUGCGAUUGUCGUGUUUAGUUGGUAGCUUCCAAACAGUCUUCGAUAGUAUUCUUUGCUAGAUGGUGGUGACUUGCUACCAGGAACCUUAUAUUUUAACAAAAAAAUAUGUAAAUAGUUAUAAAGUGCUAAAUUAUUACUUUAAUAUAAUAACAGUAAAGAGCGAUGUAAAAGUAACCGUAAGAACUAGUUUCCAUUCAGUAUACGGUUUCUAAAAGUGUAACCAUCACGUUUCCGAUAAGUUUCAAUUGUGUUAUUAAUGUCGGUGUUUGCAAUGGAAGUGUUAUGAAAUAAGUUAAAUUUUUUGGGUAAGGUAAGGAAGCGUGAUAGGAGAGAAAUUUUCUUCUUCUAAUUUUAUAGAAUUUAAUAUGAAUAGUAUACAAGGAAAGAAUAAGUAUUUUACUAUUAUUAAGGCAGAGAAGAGAUUUAUUAAAUAUUCUUAGAAAUUAUUUUUAUACAAUGAAUUAUGUACACAUAUACAUAUAUGUAUAAAUAUUCUUAUGGUAAGCGAAUGUGUUAAAUGUUAGUUAUAUGCCUAGUUCCCUUUGAGUAAAAUUAUAGAACUACUACAAACAUAUACACUAUAUAUGUAUGUAAGCAAGUUCAUAGAUGUAGGUAUGUUUAUACAGAUCAGCGUACAUAUGAACGGUUUGAGUAUCUAUCUACAUAUUUCGGAAUACAUCUAAUAUGACUUUAGUAUAUAGUUUAUUUGUAUAUCCUACGAGACGAGCGGUGCAUUUAUUAAAACAUUCCGUUGAGUAUGGAGUCUUAUUGUUUUUCUUAGACUUAAAUAACGCGCUACAUUCGUCUUCCCUUCUUCUCUAGACAUUGUUCUAUAUUCUCCUUUACACAAUAAGAUUUACCAAAUAUAUGUAGGAAUCGUUAUUAUAUUAUAGCCAAAUAAAUAGCCAACCGGUUUCCUAAAAUCAAUAUAAGUAAAAAUCGGGGUCUCGGCAGUAUAUUGGGGGUUAUAUUCUUUACUUACCACUUUUUUUCAUAUGUAUAUAAAAUUAUACUCUAUUUACCUUUGAUGUGUUAUUUUGAACAUGGAACAUGUUUUUUUGUUAACGAUGGGGUUUUCCGAGGAUUUCCAGCGCAUAAUUUUUUCAAUAACAAACUUUGAUUUUAACCCUCUAACGCCCGAUAUCGGGUCGCCUAUUGAAGACGAUCAAAUGACUUGUCGUAUGAUUUAUACAAAUGGCUUAACUAGUCAUCUGAAAUUUUUUUUUAUGUUUUACUUUAAGUCAUAACUGUGUCUUUAUCUCAAUGUUAGUAGACUGAGAUCAGUAGCCACAACACAAAAUAGUGUUAUAGUAACCAAGACUACUUUACCGGCAUCUAUAUUCUGGUAUCCAUACGUAAUAGGAUGUACAUUUCUUUGAAAAGUUUAGAUGAAAGGAUGCUUCUAAUAAUAAAAAAAAGUAUUUUAUGCAAAUACAGUCGUCAGCAAAAUUAUACGAGUGUCAUUAUGAAAACUGUAUGGGUAAAUCUUUUUUUUGAAUUUAAGCUGCCAUACCAAACUAAAAAGAAAAUUAUUUAGGUGCAGUUAAGUUAGUGUUUAAUUUUAUUU